rnacentral:rRNA from 1 species
AUUGAACGCUGGCGGCAGGCUUAACACAUGCAAGUCGAGCGGGGUGAGGUGCUUCGGUACUGAUCCUAGCGGCGGACGGGUGAGUAAUGCUUAGGAAUCUGCCAUUUAGUGGGGGACAACAUUCCGAAAGGGAUGCUAAUACCGCAUACGUCCUACGGGAGAAAGCAGGGGAUCUUCGGACCUUGCGCUAAAUGAUGAGCCUAAGUCGGAUUAGCUAGUUGGUGGGGUAAAGGCCUACCAAGGCGACGAUCUGUAGCGGGUCUGAGAGGAUGUUCCGCCACACUGGGACUGAGAAACGGCCCAGACUCCUACGGGAGGAAGCAGUGGGGAAUAUUGGACAAUGGGCGGAAGCCUGAUCCAGCCAUGCCGCGUGUGUGAAGAAGGCCUUUUGGUUGUAAAGCACUUUAAGCGAGGAGGAGGCUACCUAGAUUAAUACUCUGGGAUAGUGGACGUUACUCGCAGAAUAAGCACCGGCUAACUCUGUGCCAGCCGCCGCCGUAAUAC